CCUACGGGUGGCAGCAGUGGGGAAUAUUGGACAAUGGGCGAAAGCCUGAUCCAGCCAUGCCGCGUGUGUGAAGAAGGCCUUCGGGUUGUAAAGCACUUUCAGUGGGGAAGAAAGCCUUGGGGCUAAUACCCUCGAGGAAGGACAUCACCCACAGAAGAAGCACCGGCUAACUCCGUGCCAGCAGCCGCGGUAAUACGGAGGGUGCGAGCGUUAAUCGGAAUUACUGGGCGUAAAGCGCGCGUAGGCGGUCUGAUAAGCCGGUUGUGAAAGCCCCGGGCUCAACCUGGGAACGGCAUCCGGAACUGUCAGGCUAGAGUGCAGGAGAGGAAGGUAGAAUUCCCGGUGUAGCGGUGAAAUGCGUAGAGAUCGGGAGGAAUACCAGUUGCGAAGGCGGCCGUCUGGACUGACACUGACGCUGAGGUGCGAAAGCGUGGGUAGCAAACAGGAUUAGAUACCCCUGUAGUC
rnacentral:rRNA from 1 species